rnacentral:rRNA from 1 species
AUUGAACGCUGGCGGCAGGCUUAACACAUGCAAGUCGAGCGAGCGGCGGACGGGUGAGUAAUGUCUGGGAAACUGCCUGAUGGAGGGGGAUAACUACUGGAAACGGUAGCUAAUACCGCAUACCAUCAGAUGUGCCCAGAUGGGAUUAGCUAGUAGGUGGGGUAAUGGCUCACCUAGGCGACGAUCCCUAGCUGGUCUGAGAGGAUGACCAGCCACACUGGAACUGGGACACGGUCCAGACUCCUACGGAGGGCAGCAUGGGGGAAUAGUGCACAAUGGGGGCAAGCCUGAUGCAGCCAUGCCGGGUGUGUGAAGAAGGCCUUCGGGUUGUAGAGCACUUUCAGCGAGGAGGCGUUACUCGCAGAAGAGGCACCGGCUAACUCCGUGCCAACAGCCGCGGUAAUUC